GAUCAUGGCUCAGGAUGAACGCUGGCGGCGUGCUUAACACAUGCAAGUCGAACGAAACACCUUAUUUGAUUUUCUUCGGAACUGAAGAUUUGGUGAUUGAGUGGCGGACGGGUGAGUAACGCGUGGGUAACCUACCCUGUACAGGGGGAUAACAGUCAGAAAUGACUGCUAAUACCGCAUAAGACCACGGCACCGCAUGGUGCAGGGGUAAAAACUCCGGUGGUACAGGAUGGACCCGCGUCUGAUUAG
rnacentral:rRNA from 1 species